AGGUUCAGAGAGGCGCGUCGAUGGAGGGCAAGAAGGAAAUGGAAAAACACAAGCCAAGACCAUACCCUUCAGAGAAUUACAAAGGCAAAAACCCCAUGUCCAGAUCCCAAUGGAGGAGGUUCCAGAGGCAGAAGAGGGCAGAAAUAGAGAUGGCGAAAAAGAACAUGAAUGGACCAGACGAAGCAGAAUCUAGCAACAAUCGUCAGACAAGGAGCAGAAAAGAGACUCCCCUCCAGAUCAAUCCUAG
rnacentral:lncRNA from 1 species